rnacentral:rRNA from 1 species
AGAAAACACCUCUUGACCUCAAAUCGGGUGAGACUA